rnacentral:rRNA from 1 species
AGAGUUUGAUUCUGGCUCAGGAUGAACGCUAGCUACAGGCUUAACACAUGCAAGUCGAGGGGCAGCGAGAAGGAAGCUUGCUUCUUGUCGGCGACCGGCGCACGGGUGAGUAACGCGUAUCCAACCUUCCCCUUAGUAGGGCAUAGCCCGUAGAAAUGCGGAUUAAUACCCUAUGUUGUUCGAUGCGGACAUCUAAGUUGAACCAAAGGUUUACCGCUAAGGGAUGGGGAUGCGUCCGAUUAGGCAGCAGGCGGGGUAACGGCCCACCUGGCCAACGAUCGGUAGGGGUUCUGAGAGGAAGGUCCCCCACAUUGGAACUGAGACACGGUCCAAACUCCUACGGGAGGCAGCAGUGAGGAAUAUUGGUCAAUGGGCGCGAGCCUGAACCAGCCAAGUAGCGUGCAGGACGACGGCCCUAUGGGUUGUAAACUGCUUUUAUGCGGGGAUAAAGUGACGUACGUGUACGUUUUUGUAGGUACCGCAUGAAUAAGGACCGGCUAAUUCCGUGCCAGCAGCAGC